CUGGUGUUCCGGUUGUCACGCCAGUGGCAUUGCCGGGUAGCUAUGUUCGGAAAAGAUAACCGCUGAAAGCAUCUAAGCGGGAAACUUGCCUCAAGAUGAGAUCUCACUGGAACCUUGAGUUCCCUGAAGGGCCGUCGAAGACUACGACGUUGAUAGGUUGGGUGUGUAAGCGCUGUGAGGCGUUGAGCUAACCAAUACUAAUUGCCCGUGAGGCUUGACCAUAUAACACCCAAGCAAUU
rnacentral:rRNA from 1 species